UAGUAGAGACAACAUUUCACCAUGUUGUACUUACUCCAGCUAGGCUGGAGUAAGUACAAUUUUUAAAUUCUGCUUCCCUUACUUCAUACUUCUAUAGGUAAAAGUCAUUCAUUUUUAAAUACAAUAAAUAUUUAUUAAGUACAUACAAUAUGCCAGGUACAGUGUGAAGCACUGAGGAUUCACUGGAGAACAAGACAGUGAUUCAGUGGGAUGAAUAAUUAAAUAGGUGGAAUACUUUAGAUAACUGUGUUAUGGUAAGGGAAAUACAGGAGGCUAGUAGCCCUUAGGAGGGGUACUUAUCCCAGAGUUGGGAAUCAAGGAUGUCUUCGUAGUAGAGGAAUUGAUGUCUAAAUUGAAUGGUAAAUAGGUAUUAGCAAGGCAGAGGUGUGUAUCAUUAUGUGUGUGUGUGUGUGUUUGGUUGGCUCGCUGAAAGGUUAGAUGGGGUAGGAUCAACAGGGGAGAACAAAGCAUUAUAGGGCUAUGUUUACUUUAAAAAUGGGAAAAUACAGUAUAGCUUAAGUCUAGGUUGUAGGAGGUGGUACUUACAGAUGAAGGUGAAAAGCUAAGCAGGGACUAGAUCUUAUAAGGCAUGAAGACAUGUUAAGGAGUUUGAGUUCUAUCUUAGGAGAACUGGGGACCUCUUAACCCUGUGCCUUAAAGCUAAAGACUACCUAUAUCAGAAUCACCUAGAGGUCUGGUUAAAAAUGCUCAUUUCUGGCUGGGCAUGGUGGCUCACGCCUGUAAUCC
rnacentral:lncRNA from 1 species